rnacentral:tRNA from 1 species
UUUCUGAAAGCUCUUAAGCACUGAACUUUUAAUUCAGAGAAGGAUCUCCUCAGAAAA